CUUUCUUCCAGAUCUCCUCUGGCACGUAUCCAGACGCAGGCCUGUGAAGGAAUUCCCGAUGCGCGUCUAUGAAAAGGAUGGGAAGGGGGUGGAGAGAGGAGGAGAGUACUGUAAGCACACUUGUGUCAUCGCACAGAGUGAAAGGCACACAGAUUAUCAACUGGCAAGAAUAUUAGAUUUUCUCAACUAUUCUGAAUUAGCAAAAAUUUACUACAGCUUGGUGAGGAAUAUAUGGAAACUCUCUAUAUCAUCUUUGCAAUUUUUUAAUCUAAAAUUAUUCCAAAUAUUUAAAAGUUUAUUUUCAAAAGUUUACACUGUGAUGUCAUGACUACUUAAUAACAGGAUGGACUGGAAAUAUCUAUGCAUUCUCCUGUGUAUAUUCAUUUCUAUAAAGUAAAUGACAAAAAUAAAAAC
rnacentral:antisense_RNA from 1 species